rnacentral:rRNA from 1 species
UACGUAGGGAGCGAGCGUUGUCCGGAUUCAUUGGGCGUAAAGAGCUCGUAGGCGGCUUGAUUAGUCGGAUGUGAAACCUCCAGGCUCAACCUGGAGUCGCCAUCCGAUACUGUCAUGGCUAGAGUCCGGGUAGGGGCCCACGGAAUUCCUGGUGUAGCGGUGAAAUGCGCAGAUAUCAGGAGGAACACCGGUGGCGAAGGCGGUGGGCUGGGCCGGCACUGACGCUGAGGAGCGAAAGCGUGGGGAGCGAACAGG